UACAGAGGGGGCGAGCGUUAUUCGGAAUUAUUGGGCGUAAAGGGCGCGUAGGCGGCCUUUCAAGUGACGGGUGAAAUCCCUCGGCUUAACCGAGGAACUGCCUGUCAGACUGGAAGGCUUGAGACCGGGAGAGGUGAGUGGAAUUCCCAGUGUAGCGGUGAAAUGCGUAGAUAUUGGGAGGAACACCAACGGCGAAGGCAGCUCGCUGGGACGGUACUGACGCUGAGACGCGAAAGCGUGGGGAGCAAACAGG
rnacentral:rRNA from 1 species